AACCAGAAGAGACACAUGGGCUAGAGCCGUUGGCUUCCGGGCAAGGGGCGUUUUAAGAGGACAGGCCCAGAAGCACAAUUUUACAGUGUGUACCAGUGUGGACACUAAGUGACGGGAUCACCCCGGCUAUGACUCCGGCCAUGGGAGAGGAGAGAGCCGCCGUCAGAACACGAGACAGUCGGCAGGGAGAGGCAGAGGCAGAGCGAGAAGCAGACUUCUGGCUGAGCCUGAAGCCCCGGAGCAGGACUAGACCCGAGGACCCUGGGAUCCUGCCCUGAGGACCUGAGCCCAAGGCAGAUGCUUGACUGACCCAGCCACCCUGGCGUCCUGUCUCAA